CCUACGGGAGGCAGCAGUGAGGAAUAUUGGUCAAUGGACGAGAGUCUGAACCAGCCAAGUAGCGUGAAGGAUGACUGCCCUAUGGGUUGUAAACUUCUUUUAUAAAGGAAUAAAACGAGGCACGUGUGCCUUUUUGCAUGUACUUUAUGAAUAAGGAUCGGCUAACUCCGUGCCAGCAGCCGCGGUAAUACGGAGGAUCCGAGCGUUAUCCGGAUUUAUUGGGUUUAAAGGGAGCGUAGAUGGGUUGUUAAGUCAGUUGUGAAAGUUUGCGGCUCAACCGUAAAAUUGCAAUUGAUACUGGCAGUCUUGAGUACAGUUGAGGUAGGCGGAAUUCGUGGUGUAGCGGUGAAAGGCUUAGAUAUCACGAAGAACCCCGAUUGCGAAGGCAGCUUACUAAACUGUGACUGACAUUGAUGCUCGAAAGUGUGGGUAUCAAACAGGAUUAGAGACCCGAGUAGUC
rnacentral:rRNA from 1 species